rnacentral:rRNA from 1 species
UUGGAGGGCAAGUCUGGUGCCAGCAGCCGCGGUAAUUCCAGCUCCAAUAGCGUAUAUUAAAGUUGUUGCAGUUAAAAAGCUCGUAGUUGAAUUUCGGAGUUUGUCGGUUGGUCGGGCUUCACUGUCCGCACUGACCUGAUGGAUUCCUACCUUCUGAAUAACCAGCAUGCUAUUAAGUUAGUGCGUUGGGGAAGCAGAGCUAUUACCUUGAAAAAAUUAGAGUGCUUAAAGCAGGCUUAUGCUUGAAUAGAUUAGCAUGGAAUAAUAAAAUAGGACGGCAUGGUUCUAUUUUGUUGGUUUCUAGGAUCACCGUAAUGAUUAAUAGGGAUAGUUGGGGGCAUUAGUAUUCAAUUGUCAGAGGUGAGAUUCUUGGAUUUAUUGAAGACUAACUUCUGCGAAAGCAUUUGCCAAGGAUGUUUUCAUUAAUCAAGAACGAAAGUUAGGGGAUCGAAGACGAUCAGAUACCGUCGUAGUCUUAACCAUAAACUAUGCCGACUAGGGAUCGGACGAUGUUAAUUUUUUAAUGACUCGUUCGGCGCCUUACGAGAAAC